rnacentral:rRNA from 1 species
CCCUUAGAUGUUCUGGGCCGCACGCGUGCUACACUGAGUGGAUCAGCGGGUCAGGUUGCGCGAAAGUGUUUCCUAAUCUUGAAAUCCGCUCGUGAUGGGGAUUGACGGUUGCAAUUUUCCGUCAUGAACGAGGAAUACCUUGUAAGCGCGGGUCAUCAUCCCGCGCUGAAUACGUCCCUGCCCUUUGUACACACCGCCCGUCGCUCCUACCGAUUGAGUGGUCCGGUGAGGCUUUGGGAUCUGAGCAAAGAGAGCGUUUCGCUCGUUUUGCCCGGAAAACUCAGUCGAACCUUAUCGUUUAGAGGAAGGAGAAGUCGUAACA